ACGCACCGCACAAAACAGGUAUAUGUGCGGUUCGUUCAUGCGUGUGGUUGUCACGUGAGUGAUGGUCACUCAGGUGGACAUAGGCGGGAAUUUGCACGGGGUGUUCAUUGUUUGGUCAGUUCUACGCUAGACUUCGAUCAGUAAACUUGUGUUCGUGUACAAAUCCUACAUCGUGUUGUCGACUUUAGCAGAACACAGGGUGUCCAUGCUGCAAGAUUUGGAACGCAUCAUAGAAAAGAUAAGUGCUAAAAAGAAACGUAAAUCUGUUAAAUCCGUUUAACUGAAUCUCGAGCAUAGUAUCGAGUGUUACGAAGUAGUAACAGAGUUAAAACGAUGUAUAUUUCAAGUAACAAUUUCAGCACUAGAGAAAGCCAAUCAAUUUACAAAUAGAAAUAUUGAUGGCACGUGACCGAAAAUUCACAGGUCAUUAAUGGUAGAACACAACAAAAGCUUUCGAACUUACUGGGGAAUAAAUUGCUAUUCUUUGUGGUGUUGUAUACAUACUAUAUGUAUAUGUGUAAAUGUUUUACGAGUCUGAUGACGUAAUGUUAUUUGCAGAAAAAUACAAGGUAGAGGCGAUGGCAUAUAAAAAGGCGUAAACAUAAAGCCACACGGCGCUCUUGACGGGUCAUAUCAGAAGCCGGAAGCUUCAUCUAACAUCGCAACACAAGGGGCUGAAACUCAAUUACCAUUGAGAAGCACAGGACUAUGUUUCGCAUGUGGCGAACCGGGUCAUCGGAAAGGAGCAGCUGGAUGUUCAGCAAACAGCUCGACCAAUAAGUUAAGUUAAUUAAGUAUAGAACCCCGUUAUCAGAAAAUGGGAAGUUUCGUCUUCGUCGGAAAACGUAACGUACAGAAAGUUCCUAAAGUCAAACGUGAUCAACAGGAUCCAAGUAUAGUUCGCCGGUAAGUUGAAGGAAGGCCCACGCGGUUAAGUAGCAGGAAACUACUGAUAGUAAGUACAUUUUCGAUGUAGUAAAUGGCGGUUAUAAGUUUAUUUUUUCCGUCGGAAAACGGUAACGUACAAAAAGAUCUGUCUCAAUGUAUCAAAAGGAUCUUAGUAUAAAACUGGAUCAAAAGGAUCAUAGUAUAGAAAAUGAUGUUAGAAGCUCGCCGGUAAAAAGAACGAAAGCCCAUGAAGUCAAGCUGUAGCAGGCUACGGAUGGUUGGUACAUUUUAGAUGUAGUAAAUUGCGGUUAUAUGUUUUCUUUUCCGUCGGAAAACGGUAACGUACAGAAAGAGAUAAAAGGAGCAAUUGAUCAAAAGGAUCAUAGUAUAGAAAUUUAUCAAAAAGAUAAAAUUCAUAGUAUAAAAAAAUUUGUUACCGGAAGUUUUUCGGUAAGUAGACUGAAAACCCACGUGACAUUUAUCAUGUUGUUAAUUCGCCCGUUAAUAAGUUUAUAGUCGUAUUUAAUAAGAAUGGGAGGCCUCGAUAUAUUUAAAAUUAUUAUUUAUUUAUUUGUUCUACUUUCGAUAUUAGAGGAGCGUAUCAUGAUAUUGAUACAUUCACGAACGGUGUGGUUUGAGCUAUUAAGAGAAUAGCAGGCAGUAUUAGGUUGUUAUAAGCUUAUAUUUGGCACGAUAACGGCCGAUCAUAUAUUUACUAAAACUAGUUAAAACUAAAAUGAGGUGUACUAGCAUUCUUACGUCAAAUUGACUUAAAAUAGUUAUUUGCUUUUUAACCAGGUUUUUCGAAGGAAAAAACUGGUUAUUAGAUUGGCGAAUGCGGGCGGGCUGGCUGGCUGGCUGGCUGGCUGGCGGGCGGGCGGAACAAGCUUGUCCGGGCCAUAACUAUGUCGUUCAUUGUCAGAUUUUAAAAUCAUUUGGCACAUUUGUUCACCAUCAUUGGACGGUGUGUCGCGCGAAAUAAUUACGUCGAUAUCUCCAAGGUCAAGGUCACACUUUGAGUUCAGAGGUCAAAAAUGGCCAUAAAUGAGCUUGUCCUGGCCAUAACUAUGUCAUUCAUUGUGAGAUUUUAAAAUCAUUUGGCACAUUUGUUCACCAUCAUGGGACGGUGUGUCGCACGAAAGAAUCACGUCAAUAUCUCCAAUGUCAAGGUCGCCACGACUAAAAAAAGAUUUUUUUUAAAAACAAACUUACAAAGGGGGUUAAUUUUUUUUGUUCAUUUCAAAAGUUCAGUUUGAGUUUUCUCCCUUUAUCAGAUUUUUUUUCACAAUGAAAACCUGGUUUUGUGACAAUUUUGUCCCUUGUGUGAUGAUGGCAUACAUCACAGUGUAGAAUAUGAAAAAGCAUUAUAUGCUAAUGACUAGACGAGUUUGGAUGUUAACUGGCUGAAGAAACAGUAUUUUGAUUCCUUCUCAGAGAGUAGAAUGGCUCGGGCAUGUGAUCGAUGUGCACAAAAUGCAGUUUUUCAUAAUUAAAAAUUGAGUAGCUAGGCUAGAAAAAGUAUUGAUUCGAUGAUCUAUCUAAUUUAUCAAACGAAAGAAAAAGUAGUACCAAAAGAUAAAUUAAUAGCUUGUCUUGUAGGGCAGAUAAUUUCCUUUCAGAGUGUGAUUGUAAAUAAAGUUUGGUGAUAACAAUGCAUAUAUACAAUUGCAUAAAUACCAGAGCUAGUUGGAAAGCCCCCGUUAUUGUAACGUUGCAAGCUAUUUCCAAACUUAGAUUAUGAAAAGAAAGCACUAGGCAGUUAAUCAACGGUGGAAAAGAUUUCAAACACAAUCAGUUGUUUUUGUGUAAUAUAUUUGCUGAUGCAAGUACCACAAGUUAUGGUUUAUUGAGGUUUUAUAGAAAGUUGUAGCUUUAAUGUAGAUAUAGGCGAAAUGGCUGUCAAAUUAACGAUUUUCAUAAAAAUAAAAAAGCAAAUUUAUUUUCAAUUUGUUUUAUUCCAUUUACGAAGAGAGUAAAGGUAUGUACUCGUGGUCUUUGAGACCCGAAAAUGAGAAAAUUGGAAUGUACAUGAUCUUAAUAAAAAGAGCAACCUGUUCCCGGAAGUGAACAGAUUAUUGACGAAAAGAGAAAAGUUAUUCAUGGAAGUGAUUACUAUAUUACACUGUUAAAAUCAAGGAGGUACACUGCCAGUGUUUCUAUAAACGAAACAGGUAAUGCAUAUUGUGAUUUAAUAUGAAGUCAAUACAUUAAGCCACCGGAAGUUGGUUUUCAAGAUAAACCGGAUAAGUAUUCCGUCGUUCAACAUGACGUAAGUAAGAUUUCUUAUGAUCAUGAAAAUGCCUUGCAUACGGCUAGAAAAGGUAUGUUAUUGCUCCCGGAAGUGAGCAGAAAUAGUUUGCUUUGGUCCCCGGAAGUGGACAUAGAGCCCAGUAGAUUGCUCCCGGAAGUGAGCAGAAAUUUAUGCUAUGCUUCCCGGAAGUGGACAUAGAGCCCAGUAUAUUGCUCACGGAAGUGAGCAGAGAUGCUCCAUGAAGAGAGCAGAGAGUAUGCUAUGGUCCCCGGAUGUUAUGUUAUAUGAAAUGUUUUAAAUGCUUUGCAAAAUUCGUACAUCAAAGUGUAUUCAGACAAUAAAAUGUAAAAUCUAUAUUAUUGAAUGGUAGUCAAAAGAAAUAGCUUUAGAUUUAAAUAUGUUGUGUGGAUACUGGAUUCAACGAAAAGAGGCAGUGGGUGCCUUAGUUCAAUAUGGGGAAACAAUGUAAACUGGUUAGUUCAGAAACUAGGUUGGUAUCAAUCUGCAUCAAUAAGAUGAUAUCGGAGAAAGCAAAAUGCAUCCUUGUUGUCCCAAGAAGGGGCAGUUCGCCUUAUUGGCUAAUGUUGAUUUGUCAUACGGACAUUUUAGAGAUAUUGUGAAAUAUUGCAAAAAAGUUUGGUAGAGACUGUAUGAUUCCAGGUUGUUUUGGUAACACUAUAUUAUCAUUAAAUAAGAUAGCGUUAAGAUGCAUAUCACAAUACAGUUAUCAAUGUAUAGUACAUAUGUUUGACAGGAAAUGCUUUGAGAGGUACUCCGAAGGAGCGAUUAGAGGGCUCGGGCUUGCAUGGGCUUCGAAGAGAUUAGAUAGCGGACAGAAUGGCUAAGUAAAUACUUAGAACAAUCAAGAGCAGACAAUACGGUGAAGGAAAGAAUUCUUCAUGUGCGCAUUUCAAAUACUGCGAAGAAAAUGUAGUCGCCAUGCCAGCCUUACAUAUAUCAGUAGUAAUGUACAUGGCUCAAUUGAUGGAUCGAGGAAAUCUAAUAACGUUUUUUACAUCUGUGUUUUACAGUAUUAAAUGGAUCCAUUCUAUUAAUAGUGUUCAUGAUCCAAAGGAAGAUUUAACAAAUUAGUAUAAAAAGCUUCAAAGCGUGUGUGUUUCAAACCAUCUCACAAUAAAAAGAUUUAUCAUGUACAUGUACUUUCAUUAGAGAUGAUACAAAUUUUGUGUUUGAUAUAAGGAUAUUCCACUGUUUUCAUUGAUUGAUCAUUUUUGGGUUAUGCAUGUACAUGUAUCAUGCAUAUUAUCAAAUUAAGUGAGUUUCAUUGUAAUGACCUACAAUUGAAAUCUGAUCACUUUGUUAUUAAAGUACGCCAUUAUAAUACUGGCAUGUAUACGAAUGGUUCGGAUAUUAUAAUUGCAAAAUGUACAACUUCAACUUCCCAUACGGCGUUUUAUUAACAAAUAUGUAAUUAGCAAAUUGGUCAAAUGAAUCAAAUGA